rnacentral:rRNA from 1 species
GACGAACGCUGGCGGCGUGCUUAACACAUGCAAGUCGAACGGAAAGGCCCUGCUUUUGUGGGGUGCUCGAGUGGCGAACGGGUGAGUAACACGUGAGUAACCUGCCCUUGACUUUGGGAUAACUUCAGGAAACUGGGGCUAAUACCGGAUAGGAGCUCCUGCUGCAUGGUGGGGGUUGGAAAGUUUCGGCGGUUGGGGAUGGACUCGCGGCUUAUCAGCUUGUUGGUGGGGUAGUGGCUUACCAAGGCUUUGACGGGUAGCCGGCCUGAGAGGGUGACCGGCCACAUUGGUACUGAGAUACGGCCCAGACUCCUACGGGAGGCAGCAGUGGGGAAUAGUGCACAAUGGGCGGAAGCCUGAUGCAGCAACGCCGCGUGCGGGAUGACGGCCUUCGGGUUGUAAACCGCUUUCGCCUGUGACGAAGCGUGAGUGACGGUAAUGGGUAAAGAAGCACCGGCUAACUACGUG